AUGUGCGCCAUCGACGACAACUCCAUGCUCGCCUCACCUCCAUGCUCGCAGAACCACCAGCAGGUGUCUACAGUUGUAUCUGCUUCCUUCUGUGUACUAGAUUUCCCUUGCUUUUCGUCAGUUACAUCAUUCUACCUGCUAGUCUCCUUUUCGUCAGUUAUAGCACUCUACCUGCUAAUCUCCCCUCGUUGUUCGACAGCCUCUCCCUUGUACUCCAUCUUAAUCCAGUCCCCCCCUGUGUGUCAUGGUGUAUCAAUGAGUGAGCACAACUGUACCAUCCUCAAUUGGAACGUCCGAGGCCUCAACAACCCCGCUCGUCGCCAAGUUGUCUGUAAUCUUGUUGCUCAAACUCGCUCCUCUGUUGUGUGCCUACAAGAGACUAAGCUCGCUCACAUCGACCGCUCGAUUGUGCUCGAACUCCUUGGGAAUGGCUUUGCUGACUCAUUCUGCUUCCUCCCGGCUGAUGGCACCAGAGGAGAGAUCCUCUUGGCUUUCUCCUCCGACCUUUUUGUCAUCACGAGCUCUAAUGCCACAACUCAUACAAUCUCUUCUUCCAUCUCCAUGCGUGCUUCGGCUGCCUCCUGGAGCAUCUCCGUGGUUUAUGGCCCCCAAACAGACAAUGACAAGUUCAACUUCAUCUCCGAGCUACGCUCUCUGAAAGCAACCAUGCUGUCCUCUUGGGUUCUCCUGGGAGACUUCAAUCUUCUAUGUCGUGCUGAUGACAAAAGCAAUGGUGCCAUAAACAGGCGUCUCAUUAACAGUUUCCGAUCAGCUCUGAACUUCCUUGAGCUCGACGAGCUGCGACUUCAUGGUCGCCGCUACACUUGGGCUAGCUCCUGCCCGCAGCAGACUAAAACCAAGAUCGGCCAUUUCUUCUGCUCUAUUGAUUGGAAUCUCCUUUUUCCCCAAUGCCACAUGCGUGCCACCUCCUCCUCUAUAUCUGACCAUUGUGUUAUGCUCCUCACUGGUCAAGUUAACCACAGGAAGUUCUCCGGGUUCCGUUUUGAGAACUACUGGCUUAAAAUUCGAGGAUUCGGGGCCGCUGUUUCUGAAUCGUGGCAGGCGCCGGUCACUCACGGCGACUCCAUGUGCAGAUUGCGCUGCAAGUUAUCCCGCCUCGCCAAAUCCCUUCGGCUUUGGAGCCGCCGGCGCGUGGGCAACAUCACCCUACUGUCCACGAUUGCUGAUCUGGUCAUUCUGGGCCUCGACUCUGCUCAGGACGGCCGCGAUCUGUCCAUCGUGGAGAUGGGUCUCCGGCUGCACCUCAGGCACAAGAUCCUCGGUCUGGCUGCCAUCCAGCGGGUGCGUAUCCGCCAAUGCUCUCGCAUCCUCUACCUGCGUGCCAAUGAGGCCGAUUCCAAGCUCUUCCACAUCAAGGCUAACGAACGAAGAAGACGGAAUUUCAUCCCAGUUCUGGACAAUGGUGAGGCCCAGCUCACCCUGCAGGCUGACAAGCAAAAGGUGCUUUUUGACCACUUCAGAAGCAUGAUCGACACCCCAACCCCCAGGGAGUGUUUGAUCAAUUGGGAAUUCCUCGAUAUGCCAAGGCACGAUCUUUCUGCUUUGGAGAUGGACUUCACCGAGGAGGAAAUCAAGGCAGCCGUUUUUGAUUUGCCAUCUGGGAAAGCUCCAGGACCGGAUGGAUUUACCGCUGAUUUCUAA
rnacentral:rRNA from 1 species